rnacentral:rRNA from 1 species
GACGAACGCUGGCGGCGUGCUUAACACAUGCAAGUCGAACGGAAAGGCCCUGCUUUUGUGGGGUGCUCGAGUGGCGAACGGGUGAGUAACACGUGAGUAGCCUGCCCUUGACUUUGGGAUAACUUCAGGAAACUGGGGCUAAUACCGGAUAGGAGCUCCUGCUGCAUGGGGGGGGUUGGAAAGUUUCGGCGGUUGGGGAUGGACUCGCGGCUUAUCAGCUUGUUGGUGGGGUAGUGGCUUACCAAGGCUUUGACGGGUAGCCGGCCUGAGAGGGUGACCGGCCACAUUGGGACUGAGAUACGGCCCAGACUCCUACGGGAGGCAGCAGUGGGGAAUAUUGCACAAUGGGCGGAAGCCUGAUGCAGCAACGCCGCGUGCGGGAUGACGGCCUUCGGGUUGUAAACCGCUUUCGCCUGUGACGAAGCGUGAGUGACGGUAAUGGGUAAAGAAGCACCGGCUAACUACGUG